rnacentral:rRNA from 1 species
UACGAAGGGGGCUAGCGUUGCUCGGAAUCACUGGGCGUAAAGGGUGCGUAGGCGGGUCGUUAAGUCAGGGGUGAAAUCCUGGAGCUCAACUCCAGAACUGCCUUUGAUACUGGCAACCUAGAGGCUGGAAGAGGUUAGUGGAAUUCCCAGUGUAGAGGUGAAAUUCGUAGAUAUUGGGAAGAACACCAGUGGCGAAGGCGGCUAACUGGUCCAGAUCUGACGCUGAGGUGCGAAAGCGUGGGGAGCAAACAGG